rnacentral:rRNA from 1 species
GGGAUAUUGCACAAUGGGGGGAACCCUGAUGCAGCGACGCCGCGUGAGUGAAGAAGUAUUUCGGUAUGUAAAGCUCUAUCAGCAGGGAAGAAAGACCCUUCGGGGGGAUGACGGUACCUGACUAAGAAGCCCCGGCUAACUACGUGCCAGCAGCCGCGGUAAUACGUAGGGGGCAAGCGUUAUCCGGAUUUACUGGGUGUAAAGGGAGCGUAGACGGAACAGCAAGUCUGAUGUGAAAUCCCACGGCUCAACCGUGGAACUGCAUUGGAAACUGUUGAUCUUGAGUACCGGAGGGGUGAGCGGAAUUCCUGGUGUAGCGGUGAAAUGCGCAGAUAUCAGGAAGAACACCGGCGGCGAAGGCGGCUCACUGGACGGUAACUGACGUUGAGGCUCGAAAGCGUGGGGAGCAAACA